rnacentral:rRNA from 1 species
GACGUAGGGUGCGAGCGUUGUCCGGAUUUAUUGGGCGUAAAGAGCUCGUAGGCGGCUCGUCGCGUCGGCCGUGAAAACCCGCAGCUUAACUGCGGGCCUGCGGUUGAUACGGGCGGGCUAGAGUGCGGUAGGGGAGACUGGAAUUCCUGGUGUAGCGGUGAAAUGCGCAGAUAUCAGGAGGAACACCGGUGGCGAAGGCGGUUCUCUGGGCAUUACCUGACGCUGAGGAGCGAAAGUGUGGGGAGCGAACAGG